CGUACCUAAAUGCACAUAGUGUAUUUAAUUUACCCCAGUGACCAACAUGAGCAAAGUGUGACAUUUCAUGCAUUAUAUUUGAACAAUACUUUCACUAUCUGCAGCACUUCUUACGUGUCCAUGGUUUCUUGCACAGAGUUAGAGUAUCAUGCAAACUAGGUAAAUAUUUAUGUAAGCAUUUCAAAUGUCAAAAUUUCAAACCAACCUGUCGAUGAUGUAUUUGAUGUUGUUAUGUAAGCCAUGAUCAGUCCUUCCUUUAUAGGCCUGGAUAUGAAACGCCACCUGGAAAAGUACACAGUGAACCCUGGCAAGCAAGUUCCUUUUGUAAUGUAUUGUAAGACCUCCUUAAUCGUCUGAUUAAUUCUUCUUCCUUUCAAUACAAAAGCAAACACAGAGCAAAUGUAAUAUGCUGAGAUGUGCAGCAGGCUUGGUGUCCUUGGUGAGUGCAGUAUCAUUCAAAAAUCACCAAGGUAACCAAACCAUGUAAUGUUAAAAGACCUCACAUCUGAAAUGUUCAGAACUGUAGCUGUACAAAAUGUUCGAAUUAACAAAGAAAGAUUGCUCUUUCCUUCUGACUGUGCCCAAGGUGGCCUUAACCUCUUUCAAUAUUUAAUUGCAGGCUUUUCUUUACACCAGGCAGAAAUGUUCUCAUGCAGCCAUACCAUUAAGCUGGCUGUGUUUGUGUGUUCUCUGUGCUGAAGUGGAAAGAUGCUUUAACAAGUUAUAAAAUCAUGUUCUGGAAUAAUAAAGUAAUAAUUGAAAAGUUAAAUUUUAAUUCAAAGUAUAAUUGAUGUAAUUCUAUAUGAAUACAUUAUUCAGACUGAACAGAUAAUGCCUUCUAAACAGAUACGAACUAUUGCUGCUGUUUUUGUUUUUAGAACGUUUACCAGAAAGGUUCACAAGGCCUAGCGGUGUGCAUCAAAACUGGGAUCCCAUGGAAAACAAAACCAAAAAAGUUUCAGAAGAUUUUUACCUUCAUGUGGUUGCAAGUAAAAAAGUCAGAUAUAAAGCUCAAAUAAAGACGUGAACAUGCAGCAAUCUACGGUAACUGCGUGGUCAUCACCACAUGGUUUAAAUGAGGCCAUGAGUUAUUUUUGGGAAUAGAACCAAUUAAAUUCAUUAGAAAGUAUUGUGGCCAGGUCCAUACAAAAAUAUUAACGUGUGAGCAGGUUUUCAAACAGUCCCACACACAUCUCUCGAGUGAUACAGCUGAGGUUGUGAAACUGUCAGAGCCAGGAGUCACAGACCAUGCUGACAGAGCUGGCAUUUCUAACUCUGUGGGUGUUUUUUUUUUUUUUUUUUUUCGAGCGUUUUCCAGUAUUUCCAUGGGUAUAGUGGUGAGGUUCAUAAUUAAUUACAAAAAACCAAACAAAAAAAAAAUAAUCUACACCUUCUGGUUUAGGCCACGCCCACUUAAGGUUUAAAUACAGAUACAUAUAUGGCUAUUUGGAGCACUAAACCGAUACAGAUAGUGACUUUGCAUUACACCACACCCUCUAGUACAUAUAUUUCAGGCAAUCUAUGACUAUAUAUGACUAUUUACAUUAUUGUUAUUUGAGCUUAAAUCACCCUACUUUGUGGGCAUACUUGUGCUGCUUUUAUUUCUUAAUGAAGAUUUGGACAAAACCCAGCUAUAUCAUAUUUGAUUAAUGUAAGACACCAUGCUGUGGUGUUGCACUUACUACCAAAGAAUACCAAUGAGUCAGAUGAACAAAUAGCAUAGGUUUAGGUCCAUUCAUCUUUGCCUUCAAUCAUUGUCAGGUGUGUCUCCUGCCUGGUUGGAAUAAAAGCCUGCAGCCACACUGGCCCUUUGCAGAUAUGAUUGAUGACCCCUAGUUUGAUUAUAUACAAUACAAAUAUAUAAUAAGACAGAAGCCUUGCGAAGUUUUGAACAUAGCCAUUAGCAUGAUGAACAUCAAUAUUUCACAGGAUUGGUGAAACAACAGUCCAUUUAAAGAAUUUUUCCUCCUCACAGUUUAAUUAUUCUCCCAAUCUAAUCCUGGCUGAUUUUCCUAUCUGCCAAAAAUGUUUCUGUCUGAAAUGGCCAAAAUAGUUAAUAGAUUUUAAAAGUAUUUUAUGUCAGAUAACAGAUUAACCUAAAGAAUCUCCCAGAGUAAAGUGUCUUUUUUUUAAUGCUUUAUUAUCUAUGCAGCUAAUUUGUAUGUGCUACUGGAGGAUGAGUUUAAAUGCAGGUAAUAGAUGUUCUGGGGUCAUCCACACAUAAGGAAUGGGAGAAUGAUUUACAGUCCCUGUAGCUUUGCAGAUUAGACAUAUAAAGUCCCUUAUGUCAUCAUAAAACUGCAGCAGAGAGGGACUAAUGGAUUGAGGUGAUGCAGGCCACAACCAUUUUCAGUCUGACAUGUUAAAUAAAUGAGUAUGGCACUUAAGAGGGGGUGGAACUACACUGACUUACCUGGGGAUGAAUUGGUAGAUAAUAGCAAAUGAUGAUAUGCAUUAUAAUUUUAAAGAAAGUCUUGCUUCAUGCAUAUCCAGACAUUUUACUCCAUAUUAACAUGUCUUUGUGCUGUUGCAAUAUUCUCAAUUGAAUUUAAUGAUUGCUCAAGUCAUGUUGCAAGGUCUAGGCAGAAAAGAAGCACUGUGGAAAGUAAUGAAAGUAUUGUUUGUGCAGAUUUUCUUUUUCAGAUAUAAAAGAAGAACUGUAGAAGGCAAUGGAAGUAUUGUUUGCAUAGCUUUUUUUAAUCAAAAUUGAAUUUUCUUCAGAUAAUUGUACUAUAUUUCUGAGAUAAAUGCAUUCUUUAUGCUGAGAGUGGCCUCUGUUAAAUGAUUGAAAGAAAGAGACAGUGAUCACAAAAAUAAGAUCUCAUACAUCAUAUCAAUAUUUGAGAUAUUUAAAAAUAAAGGUUAUCACAGAAAGAUAGGGACAAUUAGGUACACCAUCACUAUAAAUAUAAUGGUAGUGGAUAGUCGGUCACAGAUAACAUGACGUAUUUUCUGCAGCAGAACAAGAAAUACUACAAGGUAGAUGUGAGGCAUAUAAAACAAUGAUGCCACAAAAAUCAGCUAAAUUCUGAAAUUGCUGAAUGCUAUGUGAAGUUUGUACUUAUAGUCCCCUGCGAAAGUAUUGGAAUGGCAAGGCCUGUAAUUUUGUUUUUGCUCAAAACUAUUUGGAUUUGAGAAGAAGAUGAAUAUGAGACAACAGAUCAGAAUUUUAGCUUUAAUUUCCUGAUAUUUACAUAUAAAUGUGUUAAAUAUUGCAAAAACAAAAGAAUUGGCCUUGCCGUUCCAAUACUUUCAGAGGGGUCUGUAUAUAUCAUAUUCAGCAAGCAUAUAAUGGCUAAAUAUAUUUUAUAAUCAUCUUAUUGAAUAAUCAAAAUGCAUUCAAUAGCUCAACUGAUGGUUUGUAUAGACUAAGCUGUCUCUAUAAUGCUAAGCUUACUAAGGUAGCAAGCUAACCAAUAAAAUUCUAAAUAAAAAUGUAAAUAAAAAGUGAGGCAAGGCCCUGAUUCUCACAUUUGUAGGAAAAGGCUUGAUUAACUAGAGCAGAUGUGUUAAGAGUGAACAAAUCUUUUAAAAUUGCACAAUAUAAGGGCAACAUUAUACAGUAUGUUAGAGUAAGAGUUCACUACUUAUAUUUUUUUAAAAAUCUUUAGUUACACUAGGUGUCAAUAAACAUGUUUUGGUGUAUUACUGGUUGGAAAUUCAACUUCAUUUCUGAAUAUUUUUAAACUAAAAAUUCUCUGCUUUCUUUUGUCUUGUAGUAUGUUUCUAAUAAAAAAAAUUUCAACAUUGGACUACUGGCAUGCUCACAGCCAUUUCAUUUCAAAAUAUCUCCAGGUAAUAGAUCAGUUGACUUCACAGUGAAAGAUCGCAACACAUCACAACAAGUUGACGGGGAGUGCUGAAAUGAGCAGGCACUGAGCAAACACAUAUUGUGCAUUAUUGAUAGGGCUUGGUUGGAGAACACUGCCCUUACACACCUCUCUCUCAUCACUUACUCAUAGGCCUUACUCUUAGCCUCUCCAACUGCUCAUUAUGAGCACAUAAUUACAUAGCACUAACACUGCUGUCCAGAUGUUUAAACACAUAUACCUUUGCUAUUUAAGAAGUUAAUCCACUCUGAUAGAGCUGCUAGCUAAAAUGCCCUUGAAUCAUCCCUUCAGCUAGGCUUAGACAAUUUAGAUAUGGGAGAACUGCCAUCAUAUAUCUGUUUUUGCCCAAUUUGAAUAUUUCAGUGAAAUAGUAAACCUAAUAAUUGAUGAUGGACUGAACACUUUACCGUACAAGGCCAUCUACCAUCCACUAUUUCUGAGAGCUUCUACUUCAGCCACUUUUAAUUAGCAGGAGAAUUCUGAAGUUACAUGGGUUGGAUUACGAAGGAGUGUAAUCCAACCUACAGACCACACAGGGUAAAAGUUUGAUGAAGGGCUUUAUAUAAUAGCAGGAGGAAAGGGAGAACAUCCGCUCACUGAAAACUGUCCCUAUAACAGUCAACUGGAGCAGUUCUUCAGCCCCUAUACUACUCAUCAUACCACUAAUGCAAAUACACGCACAAUACACACAGCAUUUUUAGUAACCUCUUGCAAUACAUUAGUAUAGUGUGUUUUCUAAUGUGUACACUAUUAAGGAGUGAACAACUGAGCUAUACUUGCUAAUUCAAAAUGACAUGCUUACCUUUAAAUUGUGCCUGAGUGCAGCAUCCAGGAUCGAUGGUACCAAAUCUUCAGAAGGCUCCCCAUGAUCAUCAGCCAAACCGGGAGGAUACCAGGACAGCACCACCACACCUUAGAGACAAUACAGCACAGUGGCAGAGCAGGUAGAGCUGCUGCCUCACAGCUCCAGGGUCACUGUCUGUGUCGUUUUGCAUGUUCCAUGUGGGUUUCCUCCAGGUUCUUUCCUUUCCUCUCAUUGCCCAGAAAUAUGCAGGUAAGUGGAUUUGCCACUCUAAAUUGCUCCUAGGUGUGAACGUGUGUGUGCAUGGUGCCCGCAAUGGAGGGUAUAUAUAUAUAUAUAUAUAUAUAUAUAUAUGCAUCAUGACCAUAUCCCCCAUGACCCUGACCAGAAUAAAGCUGUUAAUGAAGAUGAAUGAAUGAAAAUGUACAAUGCCUUUAAAUGAUUAAGCAAAACCAUUGUCUUUUCUUGAAUAUUCUGUAUCAAAUUCACCAUUUCAAGCUGUUUGUCACUAAUGAUAGUUCUACAUUGCAAAUGAUUAAAUAUUUGUUGCUAUUUGAUAGAUCAUGCCAUAAUAAAGUCUCUGUUCCAAUGCUCUCAUUUGCUACACAUUUCCUACUGUUUUAUAAUGUUUCAGCAGUAUGAUCCUACAGGAUCAUAUAUUAUCCUCUCAUAUUUGUUUGAGCAGAUGUAGGAAAAGCCUCCAGGGUCUGUCAUCCUGCUUCAUCAUCUUCAUUAGGCACUGCAGACGCACUGAUUAACAGUAGCAGAACUGCUUGUGUGUGAGAAAGCACAAGGAAGUCCUUGAAGGCCUGAUUUAAGACACAGAGGGAGGCCUGCUCUAUCGGGACGGAUUUAAGACACCUGGGGGAUGUGAAAUUGCGGUCAUGUCUUCUUAUUUAUGAUGAAUAGAAUAGGCUUUUGACCUGAAGUUGAAAUGAAGUUGGAAUAAAGUAAUUCUCACAGUCCGUGUGUUUCAUUAGAUUUUCACCAUACUUGUAUAUCCUUUCUUAAUCAUGUAAUCAUUUAUGUUAAUUUUAUCUUUAUUUGUCCAAUAAGUAUGAAGUUCUUUGUUUACCUGUAAUCAUGAAACACAGCCCUGUUCAGUGAACUAUUUAAUUGCAUGUAACACU